CGCUCUUUGGUUACAAAAUAUAAAGAGUCGAGCCUGCCCAGUGAUAAAAUUUAACGGCCGCGGUACUCUGACCGUGCAAAGGUAGCAUAAUCAUUUGCCCUAUAAUUGAGGGCUAGUAUGAAUGGUUUGACAAGAGUAAUUCUGUCUCUAUAAAAUUUUAUAGAACUUGGUUUUUAGGUGAAGAAACCUAAAUAAUAUUGAAAGACAAGAAGACCCUAUCGAGCUUAAAAAAAUUUUACUGAUUAAAUAUAAAAAUCAUUUCAAUAAAAAAUUUUGGUUGGGGCGACUAAGGAACAUAAAAAGCUUCCUUUUUAUUAUAAAAACUAAUAAGUAUUGAUCCAAAAAAAUUGAUUAAUAAAAUUAGUUACCGUAGGGAUAACAGCAUAAUCUUUUUUAAGAGUUCUUAUCGAAAAAAAGGUUUGUGACCUCGAUGUUGGACUAGGAUAUCCUGAAGAUGUAGAAGUCUUCAAAGGUUGGUCUGUUCGACCAAUAAAAUCCU
rnacentral:rRNA from 2 species